rnacentral:lncRNA from 1 species
CCGGCAUUGACAUCCUCCGAGACCUCCGUGCUCUACUCCUACAAGGCAACCAGAUAAGAGGCUUCAUCCCACUAGGCCUAGCAAAUCUCACAAAAUUACGCUCCUUGAUGCUUCAUGAAAACCAAGUCUCCGGUGAAAUACCAAGGCAAAUAGGCAACAUGAGUAAUCUUGACACUCUCACCUUGUCGGUCAAUCACUUGGUUGGUCACAUCCCCUUUGAAAUAGGCCACCUAAAGCACUUGGUUACAUUAGAUUUUUCCGAUAAUAGUCUUUCCGGCUCAAUCCCAAGCAAUAUAGGUGGCUUGACAAAACUCGCUACCUUGUACCUCGACGCCAACCAACUCUUUGGACGCGUCCCUCGAGAGCUUGGUCAUUUGGUCAAUUUAAAGGACUUGGGUCUUAGCCGAAACAAGCUGACAGGUUCCAUCCCAAAUAACUGGAGAAAUUUAACAAAACUCAAUGCCUUGUAUUUUGGACAGAACCAACUUUCUGGGCAAAUUCCACAAAAUUUAGGUUAUCAAGUGAAUUUAGAGGUCUUGGAUCUUUGUGAAAACACAUUCUCAGGUUCCAUUCCAAUAAAUUUGUUUAAUUUGACCAAGCUCACUAUCUUAUAUCUAUGGGGCAACAGACUCUCUGGUCAGAUUCCACGAGAAUUAGGCCGCCUUUUGAACUUGGAGGAACUAGAACUUAAUACAAACACACUCUCGGGUUCUAUCCCAAUCACCAUAGGCAAUUUGACCAAACUCAAUAGAUUGCACCUUUUCCAGAACCAACUUUCGGGGCAAAUUCCACGAGCACUAGGUUAUAUGAUGAACUUACAAGAAUUGGCUCUAUAUGAAAACACACUCUCAGGGCACAUUCCAAGAAAUUUAUGUAAUUUGACAAAGCUCACUCUCUUACGUCUUUGGGGCAACAGAUUUUCUGGUCACAUUCCACGAGAAUUAGGUUACCUUGUGAACUUAGAUGUCUUGGAUCUUAGUUCAAACACACUCUCAGGUUCUAUCCCAGUCACCAUAGGGAACCUGACAAAACUCAAUAUAUUAAGACUUCCUCAGAACCAACUUUCGGGGCAAAUACCACGAGAGCUGGGUUACCUUGUGAACUUAGAGGAGUUGGAUCUUAAUAUUAACACACUAUCAGGUUCCAUCCCAAACAACUUAGGAAGUUUGAUAAAGCUCACCACGUUACGCCUUGCACAAAACCAACUCUCUGGAUCUAUUCCUCAAGGAAUUGGCAAGUUAAUGAGUCUAGUUCAACUGCAACUCGCUUUUAACAACCUCUCUGGUUCCUUGCCAUCUGGUCUUUGUGCGGGAGGUCGGCUACAAAAUUUUACCGUUACCGAUAACAACUUGGUUGGACCCUUGCCGUCAAGCUUGCUAAGUUGUACAAGCCUAGUGAGGGUUCGACUUGAUCGGAAUAACCUCGAAGGAGAUAUCACCAAGAUGGGAGCUCAUCCAAAUCUUGUCUAUAUUGAUAUAAGUUCAAAUAAACUAUUUGGUAAACUAUCUCAUCGUUGGGGUGAGUGCUAUAAUCUUACCGUGCUACGUGCAUCAAAAAACAAUAUAGCCGGAGUAAUACCGUCAAGCAUUGGGAAAUUAUCCUGGUUGGGGAUACUUGAUUUUUCAUCAAAUAAGCUUGAAGGACAAGUUCCUCCAGAAAUUGGCAAUAUGAGGAUGUUGUUUAGUUUGAGCCUUUUUGGCAACUUGCUCCAGGGAAAUAUGCCAGAAGAAAUUGGAUCACUGAACAAUCUGGAGUAUCUUGAUUUAUCAUCAAACAACCUAACAGGGAAGAUACCAGGAUCAAUUCGGCAUUGUCUGAAGCUUCACUUUCUAAAGUUGAGCCAUAAUCACCUCAAUGGUACCAUUCCUAUCGAGCUAGGGAUGUUGGUAAACCUACAAGAUUUGUUGGAUCUAAGUGAAAAUUCAAUUGAUGGCGCUAUUCCAAGUCAACUAGGUGCUCUUACUAUGCUUGAAGCCUUGAAUCUUUCUCACAAUGCACUGAACGGUAGCAUUCCACCAUCAUUUCAGAGCAUGAACAGCCUCCUAUACAUGGAUAUGUCGUACAACCAAUUAGAAGGGUCAGUGCCGCAUACUAGGCUUCUUGAAGAGGCUCCAAUCAAAUGGUUCAAGCAUAAUAAGAAAUUGUGUGGUGUCGUAACAGGUUUGCCCCCUUGUGAUCUUCCUCGAAGUAGUGAACAAGGGAAAACGUCUGGAGCUAUUGUACUCUCUGUAAUAGCCGCUAUUGCAUCUCUCGUGUUUUUCACUGCACUAGUAACAUGGCGCUGCAAAAAGAAGAAAACCAAGACAGAAACAACAGAUGAAUUACAACAAACUAAGAUGUUCGCCAUCUGGAACUUUGACGGGGAGGAUGUGUACAAGAAAAUUGUUGAUGCCACAGACAAUUUCAGCAACGCUCAUUGCAUUGGAUCUGGAGGGAAUGGAUCAGUCUACAGAGUUCAGUUAUCAACAGGUGAAUUGUUUGCAGUGAAAAAGCUCCAUAGGGUGGAAGAUGACGAGCAAUUUAACCGUGAAGUACAUGCAUUGAUGCAUAUUAGACAUCGCAACAUUGCAAAGUUAUUUGGUUACUGCUCCGCAACCCAAGGAAGAUUUCUUGUGUAUGAAUACAUGGAUAGAGGAAGCUUAUCAAAAUCUUUGGAGGAUACAGAAACUGCAGUUGAAUUGGAUUGGCCGAGGAGGUUAAAUAUUGUUUGGGAUGUUACUCAUGCUUUGUCUUACAUGCAUCACAACUGCUUCGCACCUAUCGUCCACCGAGAUAUAAAAAGCAACAACGUUUUGCUUGACCUGGAAUUUAAAGCCUGCAUCUCAGAUUUUGGUCUAGCGAAAAUACUAGAUGUGGAUGCAUCAAACUGCACAAGUCUUGCGGGGACAAAAGGAUAUCUUGCCCCAGGUAAAAUUAUAUAUCUAUGUUGGUUACAUCAAUAAUCUUCUCAUUGUUUCAAGUACCUCGCUAGGUUUUAACUCCCUAAUGUUGUUUGUUUCAGAGCUUGCAUACACAACAAGGGUAACGGAGAAGUGCGACGUUUAUAGCUUUGGGAUACUUGUUCUAGAGCUGUUCAUGGGACAUCAUCCAGGCGAUUUCCUUUCUUCCGUGGACAACAACAACAAAAGUACAUCGAUUGAGAAAUUGCUGGACACCCGGCUCCCACUCCCUGAAGCUGAGGUCGCAAGUAAGAUAUUUCAAGUGGUUGCCAUCGCUGUUCAGUGCAUAGAGCCUGAUCCAUCACACCGUCCGACGAUGCAGCAAGUAACCAAGGUGUUGUCAACAGCUGAACGUCCUGCUAACAAUCUUGAUUAUCUCCACACUAGCAUUGCCAUCCCUGCCUGCUGGUCGUGAAUGUUCAUCUGAUUAUCACAUCAUUUUAUUCGCUAGAUAGUUUGUUUUGUGCUAUAUAUCUUUCGCAGCUGCUGUUUGGCAAUUAGCUGCAUAUAAAUAUAUUCUUGUAUGGCAGAGCUCCUGCUAUUUCUGUAAAACAUUGAUAAAUAAAUCCAUCUGCAUCCUCUCUCGGACGUCUCCUUUUGGUCCUUGUAGCCUUACAAGAUGCUCAAACCUUUUAGCCUUUGACCAAAUUUUUGAAUGACAACAUCUCCAACUGGGGAUGCAAAGUUAUGUUGUUCCGAUAAACGCAUACGGGUAUGAACUUGUCAAUUCAUCUUAAAUGUAGUGCUCUCUCGAGUUAUUUGGUAUUUAAUUUCAUGCACUCAUGUGACGAUGGAGCGCUAAAUUUUUCAAUAACUAGCGUGAGUAUUUACACCAAGCUCAUUUCUAUACAUGUUGCCAUGUUUUUUAUAACAAUGUUUUAUAAUACAUAAAUAUGAUGGUUUUGAACCAAGGAGGCGAUUUUUGCUACAUACUUUAAAGUAUGAAGGGAAUGGAGCUCUAAACAAUAUCCCAGAGAUGGAACAAAGCAUGUAGAGAGAAUCGUCAAAGAAUAAGUAGUAGAUAAUGUUGCUUAGUUGUUGUUUUUUAACAUUUUCUAACUAAUUAGAAUAUAUUUGCAAGAUAAUAAAUUAUGUAAAGACAUGUGUGCUGAUCAUGUGUUACACCACAUCGUUGGGCAUGACACACAUUUCAAUAGCUUAGUAAAAAACUAGCUGCAGAGAAAUAAGAUUCAAAAUAGAUAUUUCCACUAUAGAUUAUGAUACGUCUGUUGUGCAUGAUUACUAGUGGUAAAAAGAAAAGAAAAGGAAUCGUAAACCGAAUUCUUAAUUGAUUUUACAAACAACACUGCAUUGUGUUAAGUAACGUUGUUUACAUACAUAUAAAAUACAUCCGGAGGUUGAAUAAGCCAUACAUGAUAAUCCUCCGGAUGAGAAACUCGAAAGCAAGAUAAACUAUGAGGUUUUAUAUUUUAUGUUAGGGUCGACUCUAUGUUUUCAAGGGCCCCUAGGUCCAAGUCGGUGACUUGGUCCCUUAAGGUUGUGUACUACUGCUAAGUAAUACUCCAUCCGUUUUUAAAUAUAAGUUUUUGUAGAAGUUUCACUAAUGAACUAUAUACGGAUGUAUAUAGACAUACCAUGGAGCGUAGAUUCAUUCAUUUUGUGUUCGUAUAUAGAUCCCUAAUAAAAUCUUUUAAAAAAACUUAUAUUUAGAAACAGAGUGAGUACUAGUACUAGUGCAUUGUGAAACCACUAGUUGAAGAGAAUUUGACAGUAGCCUAGUAAUACACCAUGCGGCCAUGAUUCGACACCCGUCGAGAGCGGAUUUCUGACAACUCACCCGCAUGAGCAUCUUCUAUAAAAGUAUGUCUUGAAAGUUACUGCUUACGGAUCUACUCUCUCCGUUUUAAAAUAAGUGUCUUAAGCUUAGUACAACUUUGUAUUAAAACUAGUACAAAAUUGAGACCGUUAUUUUGAGACCGAGGGAAUACUUUUUUUAAAAACCAUUAGGGUAAACUUCCAAUAUGAGCAAUUAACCUAGUGUAUCAAAGUUUCAGGUCACCCACGAUCAGAUACAGUCGUCAAAGCUAAGCAGAACAAAGUUUGCGGCCUUGACAGAAUAUGUGGACGGGAACAGUAGAACUGGCUACCAUUGUUGUAUACUGGACUGUCACAAUUAAGAUCUGCAGAAACAUGCAUCAGCUAGCUUGCUUGACGGACUUACCUUACAGCAGUGCAGGGUGCCGGUGGCGGCGAAGGGAGCUGGUGACGACAGAGAGGGGUACGGCACUGUUUCCAUGGAGGGCUUCGGCGGCGGCGGCGGAGGAUCGUAGGGCACCACCGAGGACGGCGCCGCUGCGGCGCGUGUGCGAUCGACCAAGGUGGAGACCGAUGGCAUUCUUUUCGUCCCUAUAUGGG